rnacentral:lncRNA from 1 species
UGUUUUAUUGGAACAGUCUUCAACUGAUUCACUUUCCAAAGGGAACAUUAUUAAAACCAAAGGAGCUGAAGGCAUAUUGUCUGCUAGCAGGUGGCUAAAAAUGCACGUUUUUGUGAGCCCUUUCUUCAGAGCACUUGAAUUCAUCAUAAAAGGUGUUACAGGCCAUUGUCAGAUGGCGUUAUGAGGCAAUGAAGGACAGCAGCUCCUGGCAGACUGCUGAGAAGCUGCACUCCAACUGCUGUGUUGAUUGAUUGUGUCCUGGACAAGGGAGAGGUGCGAAUGUGACAAAUGGAUACACCUUAAAAGAGGAGGAUGGCUGCAACACUAGAAUGGAUAGUGAUGAUAACCAUGGCAGGCCAAAGUUUUAUGAUAAGAAUAAAGUUGGUGACAAGAUGUCCUGUGACAGGCAUCCCAUCAGGCAUGGGAGAGGGCUGCAAGACAACAGGCUCUGCAUAUGCUGUAAAUCUGGUUGGUUCUGUGAUGCCAGCAUGGCUGCUCUACUCUCUAUUAAGAUAAGUCUAUCUAUCCUUAGCUUGCUGAAUUUUCUAGGUAGCACUAGCAGUAAACAGGAAGUACCAAACGAAAUCUUAGAUGUGGUUUAA